GACGAACGCUGGCGGCGUGCUUAACACAUGCAAGUCGAACGGAAAGGCCCUGCUUUUGUGGGGUGCUCGAGUGGCGAACGGGUGAGUAACACGUGAGUAACCUGCCCUUGACUUUGGGAUAACUUCAGGAAACUGGGGCUAAUACCGGAUAGGAGCUCCUGCUGCAUGGUGGGGGUUGGAAAGUUUCGGCGGUUGGGGAUGGACUCGCGGCUUAUCAGCUUGUUGGUGGGGUAGUGGCUUACCAAGGCUUUGAUGGGUAGCCGGCCUGAGAGGGUGACCGGCCACAUUGGGACUGAGAUACGGCCCAGACUCCUACGGGAGGCAGCAGUGGGGAAUAUUGCACAAUGGGCGGAAGCCUGAUGCAGCAACGCCGCGUGCGGGAUGACGGCCUUCGGGUUGUAAACCGCUUUCGCCUGUGACGAAGCGUGAGUGACGGUAAUGGGUAAAGAAGCACCGGCUAACUACGU
rnacentral:rRNA from 1 species